rnacentral:rRNA from 1 species
UGGGGAAUAUUGGACAAUGGGCGAAAGCCUGAUCCAGCCAUGCCGCGUGUGUGAAGAAGGUCUUCGGAUUGUAAAGCACUUUAAGUUGGGAGGAAGGGCAGUUACCUAAUACGUGAUUGUUUUGACGUUACCGACAGAAUAAGCACCGGCUAACUCUGUGCCAGCAGCCGCGGUAAUACAGAGGGUGCAAGCGUUAAUCGGAAUUACUGGGCGUAAAGCGCGCGUAGGUGGUUUGUUAAGUUGGAUGUGAAAUCCCCGGGCUCAACCUGGGAACUGCAUUCAAAACUGACUGACUACUAGGGUAUGGUAGAGGGUGGUGGAAUUUCCUGUGUAGCGGUGAAAUGCGUAGAUAUAGGAAGGAACACCAGUGGCGAAGGCGACCACCUGGACUAAUACUGACACUGAGGUGCGAAAGCGUGGGGAGCAAACA